GACGAACGCUGGCGGCGUGCCUAAUACAUGCCAGUAGAACGCCGAAGGAGGAGCUUGCUCUUCUGGAUGAGUUGCGAACGGGUGAGUAACGCGUAGGUAACCUGCCUGGUAGCGGGGGAUAACUAUUGGAAACGAUAGCUAAUACCGCAUAACAGUAGAUGUUGCAUGACAUUUACUUAAAAGGUGCAAUUGCAUCACUACCAGAUGGACCUGCGUUGUAUUAGCUAGUUGGUGGGGUAACGGCUCACCAAGGCGACGAUACAUAGCCGACCUGAGAGGGUGAUCGGCCACACUGGGACUGAGACACGGCCCAGACUCCUACGGGAGGCAGCAGUAGGGAAUCUUCGGCAAUGGACGGAAGUCUGACCGAGCAACGCCGCGUGAGUGAAGAAGGUUUUCGGAUCGUAAAGCUCUGUUGUAAGAGAAGAACGAGUGUGAGAGUGGAAAGUUCACACUGUGACGGUAUCUUACCAGAAAGGGACGGCUAACUACGUG
rnacentral:rRNA from 1 species